rnacentral:lncRNA from 1 species
UUCAAUCAGAGUAACAUAUAGGCCUCGUCCAGAAAACCUUAAACAUCAUCAGAUAAACAUAAUAUCCAUAUAUACAUAAGGAGGUUCUGCCACAAAAGGUACAGUACAUAUAUGUUAAAUGUGCCACAACCAAACUGAAGUAUUGCCACAAAAGGAGAAAGUACAUAUGUUUCUAGGGGUGCCACAACCAAAAUGAGCAUAUAGUGGCUUAACCAGCAAAAUGAGCAGAGCAAGUGUCCAGGUUCAACAAACAAAGCAUAUUACAUAAUCACUCAGCAACUUAAUCAUAGGUUUUCCAAAUCAUCAGUGGCUUCAAGAUCUUCCUAAUCUCCGUCAACAUCUAUAGUAAACCUGCAACAGAUAGGAAAUUCAAAAUGUAGCUCUCGUUUCAGAUUUUUUAAGUAACAAAAUGCGGCAGUUUAAGUACUCGACAAAAAUAGAAUUCUUGUAAAUGUAUAGCACUUCAUCAUCACAUCAAGCAAUGAUCAAGUAGGAAUUGUUUGAAGUGCACAUACAGAAAUCUUCCAUGCGCAAAUAAGCAAAACAAGAACUUGUACAAUGAGUGGUGAAGCGACGUACAAGCUGGGUAGUCCCAACUUUUUGGUGAAACUAGCAUGUAUGUUUAGAAAUGUUAAACAAAUUUGCACAAAUUCAUAUAUUUAGCAGUUUUGGCACCGCUAGUGCAAAACCUGCUCAGUUCAAAACAAAUUAGAACUUAAUAGUGAAAGCUAUGACUAAAACUCUAUACAGUACUAUAUACAACAGAUUGUUGGACUCUGUACAAAUAGGCAAAACUCUAUGCAGUACUAUAUAUUGAACAAAUAGGCAAAACUCCAUACAAAUAGGCAUGAAUGUAUACUGUACGUACAUAGUACACUGAGAAGUACAAAUAGGCAGGGGCGGGGACACGUCAAUCCAAAUACUUCAGGAAAUGCAGCAGCAAUACCCAUCAUAAAGAAUCUGUUUUGUCACACGAAAAACAACGCAACCAGGCAAAAAUUGCCAGAGUAGGAAGAGCAAGGAGCUGCCAGUAUAGCUAGAUAUUAACAAAUUAGAAUCUGCCAAAAAAUCAGUACUAUACAGAGUUGAGGGCAUGAAAAUUUUCAUUUUGUAAACUUCGGUACUUUCCAGAGUACAGGUUGCUUCAGUACUGUAACACUAGUGGAGUUUAGAAUCUGGUUGUCAUUUAAACUCGUAAGUACUGAAAUAUUUCCUAUAGUACAAUACUGAAAUACAUUUAUAUAGUACUGAAAAACAUCAGUACUGUACUAUUUCCUAUAUGAAAUAUUUUGUAAAAGGUACGCAACCAGGAACAACAUUUUGUAAACUUCAGUACUGUACUAUAGGAAAUAUUUACAGAGUUGAGGGCAUGAAAAAUUCUUGGAAACAUGGAUAUUACCUCCUCAGCUUGCUUGUGGUUGCAUUCCUGCUUUCGCCAUGGGCUUGUCCACUUCCAACUGCAUAUAUAGGAUAGGAUAGAAAGAAAGCUUUUUAAGCAACUAGCCAUGAUAGUCAUUGGUAAAUUCAAUCUAAAGAACAAAAGCUCACAUGCUUCAUAUCCACCACCAUAUUCCCCUUCAUGUCCACAUCCACCUUCAUGUCCAUCUUCAUGCCGAUAUCCCCGUCAAUAUAUGCUUGUGUGUUUCUAGCUUUAUCCAUCCAACUCUUGUCCAUUCUUGACCAGUUUCACUAUAAUUGCCUAACAUACGAAAGAAAGUGUACGUCUAUUAAUGGUGAAUAUCUAGUAGCAAAAUGCAUACCGUUCUUAUCUAGUACACGUAAAGGGAUAUACAAUACAGACCAGGAAUAAAAUCUAGCACAGUAGAAAUAGUGAAUUGAAACAUCUCAUUUCAUGAAAUGCAAACACUAAAAUAGUAGUAGGAAUAUCAUGGGAAUAGCAAAUAAAAAUCACGGUUGAUUAAGAAGCAGAGGAUGUGGUGCUGCUCUGGCGAUGAAGCAAAGGACCUACAUGGCACUACUCGGGCAAGGAAGUAGAGGUGAGCAGGGGCGGAGCUGGAGCAAAUGUUACCCUGAUGCACCACUUUAACAUGGUGUAAAAUUUCAAGUAACGACAAUAGUAAAUAAAAGUGUGUUUUACAACUUAUACCUGACAUAAUAGAAGACUAAUUAAAUACAAAACAUAGCCAUCAAAUGCUUAGAAUAACAAGGAAAUAACGAAUAAAAUUACUUGAAAAUGAUGUCUUCCAUUUCGAAACUCCAAAAUACGUCAUCAGAUACUAAGAUUGAAUAUCCUACAAUAUAAAAAGAAUAAAAUUAAAUUUUUCAGUGGAACAAAGAAGAAUGGUGAAAUGAAAAUAUUUAAGUAGCUAAAUUCAAGCCGGGCUCUUAAUUCUUGAAACCAAUAUUUUUAGUCCCAAACUCUCAAAUAUUUAAAGAUUAUUUUCUCUUAGCUGGCAAUGUUCAUUAGCCAAGUACUUUCUUCUUACCGAAUAUUUCAAAUUAGGAUUUUCAUGUUUUAUCAAUUUCCUUUUGCCCUUAUCAAAAUGGAUCUCCUCUUCCCAAUUCAAUUCUUUCGGAGAUCUCGUGAUAAUGCUUUACUUUUGAAUAAGGACAUGCCCAUGGUAUAUGUAAAUUUGACUAGCAAACUUCCACGUGGGACAUGAAAAUUUUGACAACUACAAAUUCCAAUGCCUAUGUUCGGCCAAAACCCAUUGAUUUAAAUGGAGUCGUAGCAGCCAAAUGUGGGAUGCCCAGAACAUUUACUAUGCAAAGGAAAACGAAAGGACAGAUGUAUAUAUGCCAGGCAGUGAAUAUAUCCUUUGCCUUUUUUGGAAUCUAUUGACUGCAAAUUCAUACAAAUAAUUACAAGGAUUGAGAAUAAUUAUUGAAAAGAAUUAGACAAGAGGCAAGGGCGUUACCCAGACAGAACUAGAAUUGGCUGCAAUCUGAAGUGUAGACGAACGAUUGGACAAAGUAGAUCAUGUUCUUGCCGAGAUCGAUUCACGAAGCCGGCGUAGUCGCAUCGAUUGACAUGGCCACUCCUGCGCAUGGCGUCGCCUCGAUCGGCCGCUCCCAUUUGGCGGCGAGGAGUGGGGAUUGGAACCCACUGCGUGGCUGCGCACAGGUAAUGGAUAGCCAGGCGUGGAGAGGCCAUACUAAGCGUACGACCCAAUUGUGGGCUGUGGGCUGCGGACGUGUGCG